rnacentral:rRNA from 1 species
GAACGCUGGCGGCGUGCUAACACAUGCAAGUCGAACGGGUGGAGAGGGAGCUUGCUCCUCGAUCUAGUGGCGAACGGGUGAGUAACGCGUGAGAAACCUGCCUUUCAGUGGGGGGACAACAGUUGGAAACGACUGCUAAUACCGCAUAACACUUUAGUACCGCAUGGUACAGAAGUCAAAGCUUUAUGUGCUGAGAGAUGGUCUCGCGUCUGAUUAGCUAGAUGGCGGGGUAACGGCCCACCAUGGCGACGAUCAGUAGCCGGUCUGAGAGGAUGAACGGCCACAUUGGGACUGAGAUACGGCCCAGACUCCUACGGGAGGCAGCAGUGGGGAAUAUUGGGCAAUGGGGGAAACCCUGACCCAGCAACGCCGCGUGAAGGAAGAAGGCCCUCGGGUUGUAAACUUCUUUUAGUAGGGACGAAUACGUGACGGUACCUACAGAAAAAGCAACGGCUAACUACGUG